AUACAGAGGGUGCAAGCGUUAAUCGGAAUUACUGGGCGUAAAGAGCACGUAGGUGGGUAAAUUAGUCAGCUGUGAAAUUCCCGGGCUUAACCUGGGCAGGCCAGCUGAAACUGUUUACCUAGAGUAUAGUAGAGGGAAGUGGAAUUUCCGGUGUAGCGGUGAAAUGCGUAGAUAUCGGAAGGAACACCAGUGGCGAAGGCGUCUUCCUGGACUAAUACUGACGCUAAGGAACGAAAGCGUGGGGAGCAAACGGGAUUAGAAACCCCGGUAGUCC
rnacentral:rRNA from 1 species